CCCAGAGGUAUUGAUUGGUGAGAUUUCAGUACGUUUUGAGUACUCACGUUUUGCACCAACCUGCGCGGAUGCGCAGGUUUUUUUU
rnacentral:sRNA from 1 species